UACAGAGGGUGCGAGCGUUGUUCGGAAUUAUUGGGCGUAAAGGGCGCGUAGGCGGCGCGGUAAGUCACCUGUGAAAUCUCCUGGCUCAACUGGGAGCUUGCAGGCGAAACUGCCGUGCUGGAGUGUGGGAGAGGUGCGUGGAAUUCCCGGUGUAGAGGUGAAAUGCGUAGAUAUCAGGAGGAACACCUGUGGCGAAAGCGGCGCACUGGACCACAACUGACGCUGAGGCGCGAAAGCUAGGGGAGCAAACAGG
rnacentral:rRNA from 1 species